GCCCGGUUAGCUCAGUUUGGUAGAGCGUGAGACUUUUAGGGACUAUGGGCUCCGAAGGGAAUCUUAAGGUCGUGGGUUCGACCCCCACAUCGGGCG